UACGAAGGGGGCUAGCGUUGCUCGGAAUCACUGGGCGUAAAGCGCACGUAGGCGGAUCUUUAAGUCAGGGGUGAAAUCCCAAGGCUCAACCUUGGAACUGCCUUUGAUACUGGGGAUCUCGAGUCCGGAAGAGGUGAGUGGAACUGCGAGUGUAGAGGUGAAAUGCGCAGAUAUCAGGAGGAACACCCGUGGCGAAAGCGGCUCUCUGGGACGGUACUGACGCUGAGACGCGAAAGCGUGGGGAGCAAACAGG
rnacentral:rRNA from 1 species